rnacentral:rRNA from 1 species
GGGACUGAGACACGGCCCAGACUCCUACGGGAGGCAGCAGUGGGAAUAUUGCACAAUGGGCGAAAGCUGAUGCAGCAACGCCGCGUGAGGGAUGACGGCCUUCGGGUUGUAAACCUCUUUUAGUAGGGAAGAAGCGAAAGUGACGGUACCUGCAGAAAAAGCACCGGCUAACUACGUGCCAGCAGCCGCGGUAAUACGUAGGGUGCGAGCGUUGUCCGGAAUUAUUGGGCGUAAAGAGCUCGUAGGCGGUUUGUCGCGUCUGCUGUGAAAUCCCGAGGCUCAACCUCGGGCUUGCAGUGGGUACGGGCAGACUAGAGUGCGGUAGGGGAGAUUGGAAUUCCUGGUGUAGCGGUGGAAUGCGCAGAUAUCAGGAGGAACACCGAUGGCGAAGGCAGAUCUCUGGGCCGUAACUGACGCUGAGGAGCGAAAGCGUGGGGAGCGAACAGGAUUAGAUACCCUGGUAGUCCACGCCGUAAACGUUGGGCGCUAGAUGUAGGGACCUUUCCACGGUUUCUGUGUCGUAGCUAACGCAUUAAGCGCCCCGCCUGGGGAGUACGGCCGCAAGGCUAAAACUCAAAGGAAUUGACGGGGGCCCGCACAAGCGGCGGAGCAUGCGGAUUAAUUCGAUGCAACGCGAAGAACCUUACCAAGGCUUGACAUACACCGGAAACGGCCAGAGAUGGUCGCCCCCUUGUGGUCGGUGUACAGGUGGUGCAUGGUUGUCGUCAGCUCGUGUCGUGAGAUGUUGGGUUAAGUCCCGCAACGAGCGCAACCCUCGUUCUAUGUUGCCAGCGCGUUAUGGCGGGGACUCAUAGGAGACUGCCGGGGUCAACUCGGAGGAAGGUGGGGAUGACGUCAAAUCAUCAUGCCCCUUAUGUCUUGGGCUUCACGCAUGCUACAAUGGCCGGUACAAAGGGCUGCGAUACCGUAAGGUGGAGCGAAUCCCAAAAAGCCGGUCUCAGUUCGGAUUGAGGUCUGCAACUCGACCUCAUGAAGUCGGAGUCGCUAGUAAUCGCAGAUCAGCAAC